rnacentral:rRNA from 1 species
UACAGAGGGUGCGAGCGUUAAUCGGAAUUACUGGGCGUAAAGCGUGCGUAGACGGUUAUUUAAGUCGGGUGUGAAAGCCCCGGGCUCAACCUGGGAAUUGCAUUCGAGACUGAAUAGCUAGAGUACGGUAGAGGGGGAUGGAAUUCCGCGUGUAGCAGUGAAAUGCGUAGAUAUGCGGAGGAACACCGAUGGCGAAGGCAAUCCCCUGGACCUGUACUGACGCUCAUGCACGAAAGCGUGGGGAGCAAACAGG